GUCUUUUUGAUUAUAAUUUAAAGUCUGACCUGCUCGCUGAGGAUUUAAAGGGCCGCAGUAUUUUGACUGUGCGAAGGUAGCAUAAUAAUUAGUUUUUUAAUUGAAAGCUGGAAUGAAUGGUCGAACGAGGAAAUAACUGUCUCUAUGUUAAUUUAUUAGAAUUUUAUCUUUAAGUAAAAAAGCUUAAAUGAUUUUAAAAGACGAGAAGACCCUAUAGAGUUUUAUAAAAUUUAUUUUUAAUCAGUUUUGGGAUUGUUUUUAAUUAACUUUAAAUUUUAUUUUAUUGGGGUGAUAGGGAAAUUUAAUAAACUUUCUUUUUAUUUAAACAUUAAUUUAUGAUUUAUUGAUCCAUGAUUUGUGAUUAUAAGAUUAAAUUACCUUAGGGAUAACAGCGUAAUUUUUCUCGAGAGUUCUAAUCGAAAGAAAAGGUUGCGACCUCGAUGUUGGAUUAAAAUUAAUACUUGGUGUAGGGGCUAGGUAAUUAGGUCUGUUCGACCUUUAAAAUUUU
rnacentral:rRNA from 1 species